GCGGGGCCCAUGUUUGUCAACU
rnacentral:miRNA from 1 species